rnacentral:rRNA from 1 species
AGAGUUUGAUCAUGGCUCAGGACGAACGCUGGCGGCGUGCCUAAUACAUGCAAGUCGAGCGAGCUUGCCUAGAUGAAUUUGGUGCUUGCACCAGAUGAAACUAGAUACAAGCGAGCGGCGGACGGGUGAGUAACACGUGGGUAACCUGCCCAAGAGACUGGGAUAACACCUGGAAACAGAUGCUAAUACCGGAUAACAACACUAGACGCAUGUCUAGAGUUUAAAAGAUGGUUCUGCUAUCACUCUUGGAUGGACCUGCGGUGCAUUAGCUAGUUGGUAAGGUAACGGCUUACCAAGGCAAUGAUGCAUAGCCCGAGUUGAGAGACUGAUCGGCCCACAUUGGGAACUGAGACACGGCCCAAACUCCUACGGGAGGCAGCAGUAGGGGAAUCUUCCACAAUGGACGCAAGUCUGAUGGAGCAACGCCGCGUGAGUGAAGAAGGGUUUCGGCUCGUAAAGCUCUGUUGGUAGUGAAGAAAAGAUAGAGGUAAGUAACUGGCCUUUAUUUGACGGUAAUUACUUUAGAAAGUCACGGCUAACUACGUGCCAGCAGCCGCGGUAAUACGUAGGUGGCAAGCGUUGUCCGGAUUUAUUGGGCGUAAAGCGAGUGCAGGCCGGUUCAAUAAGGUCUGAUGUGAAAGCCUUCGGCUCAACCGGAGAAUUGCAUCAGAAACUGUUGAACUUGAGUGCAGAAGAGGAGAGUGGAACUCCAUGUGUAGCGGUGGAAUGCGUAGAUAUAUGGAAGAACACCAGUGGCGAAGGCGGCUCUCUGGUCUGCAACUGACGCUGAGGCUCGAAAGCAUGGGUAGCGAACAGGAUUAGAUACCCUGGUAGUCCAUGCCGUAAACGAUGAGUGCUAAGUGUUGGGAGGUUUCCGCCUCUCAGUGCUGCAGCUAACGCAUUAAGCACUCCGCCUGGGGAGUACGACCGCAAGGUUGAAACUCAAAGGAAUUGACGGGGGCCCGCACAAG